rnacentral:piRNA from 1 species
UGGCACUCCGAGGGUCCGUUUCUCUCU